ACCUCAUUAUACCCUGUUUGCCACUGAGCAGUAACAAAUAAUGCUGUGAUAGAAAUGAGUAUAUGAUAUCCAUGUGGUUUUGUGACUUUUCUUGUUUAAACUUUUUAUUCUUUCUUCUGAAAAUCUUUUUCAUCUGAUCUUGUCCAUUCUGUUGAAUGACUCGCUCAGACUGCAUUUUGUUAGACUACUUCUUUGAUAGGAAACAGAACUUGUGAAGGGAUUGGUGCAUAAGCUGUAUGCUGCAUUACACGCCUUAUGGUGAAUGAAUGUUGCCCUGUCUUAUUUGUUUCUUGUACAUUUACCAGUGUAAAUAUUGUGCUGAAAGGAUGUGCUACACAUUUGUAUAUAACUGUUGAUAGACAUGUAGAAUUAAAAAUCUUGAUAUAGAUCAUCUGAAGUAGUUGUUUAUGCAUAGAAUCAAAUAACUGUCAUGUUUUAUAAAGAAAGUAUAUGUGUAGUUCAUUACCUUGCUAAACUUAUAAUGAUGUGUCCGCAAAGGACAAAACAUUAAAAAUUUAC
rnacentral:misc_RNA from 1 species